rnacentral:rRNA from 1 species
UUAAGUGAAUAAGGGCGUACGGUGGAUGCCUAGGCACUUGGAACUGAAGAAGGACGCAACAAACGGCGAAACGCGACGGGGAGUGGUACGUACACAAAGAUCCGUCGAUAUCCGAAUGGGGAAACCCGGCAGCAGUAAUGAGCUGUCACCCAUGAGUGAAUACAUAGCUCAUGAGGGAGGUACCCGGAGAACUGAAACAUCUAAGUAUCCGGAGGAAAAGAAAAUAAGAAUGAUUCCGUAAGUAGCGGCGAGCGAACGCGGAGGAGCCCAAACCAGAUCUUGAUCUGGGGUUGUAGGACCACGAGAUGGCAAGAGCAAGGCUAAGAGAACGGCAUUGAAAGGCCGACCGGAGAGGGUGCAAGUCCCGUAACUGAAAGCGAUGUGAAGCCUAGUGGUAUCCUGAGUACGGCGAGACACGAGAAAUCUUGUCGGAAGCAGGCGGGACCAUCCGUCAAGGCUAAAUAUACCCAAGUGACCGAUAGUGAACCAGUACCGUGAGGGAAAGGUGAAAAGAACCGCGGGAGCGGAGUGAAAUAGAACCUGAAACCGUAUGCUUACAAGAAGUCAGAGCCCGUUAAAGGGUGAUGGCGUGCCUUUUGUAGAAUGAACCGGCGAGUUACGUUAUCGUGCGAGGUUAAGUAGAAGAUACGGAGCCGAAGCGAAAGCGAGUCUUAAUAGGGCGGCAGUACGAUGAUGUAGACCCGAAACCGUGUGAUCUAGCCAUGACCAGGUUGAAGUUCAGGUGAAACUGAAUGGAGGACCGCACCGACCCCCGUUGAAAAGUUGGCGGAUGAGUUGUGGCUAGGGGAGAAAUUCCAAUCGAACACGGAUAUAGCUGGUUCUCCCCGAAAUAGCUUUAGGGCUAGCGUCGAGGUAGAGUCGCAUGGAGGUAGAGCACUGAAUGUACGAUGGCCCCAUCCCGGGGUACUGAGUAUAAUCAAACUCCGAAUGCCAUGCAGACGUACUCGGCAGUCAGACUGUGGGUGAUAAGGUCCAUGGUCAAAAGGGAAACAGCCCAGACCGCCAGUUAAGGUCCCAAAAUGUAUGCUAAGUGGAAAAGGAUGUGGGGAUGCACAGACAACUAGGAGGUUGGCUCAGAAGCAGCCAUCCUUCAAAGAGUGCGUAACAGCUCACUAGUCGAGUGACCCUGCGCCGAAAAUGUACCGGGGCUAAGCAUACUACCGAAGCUGCGGAUUUGCAGUAAUGCAAGUGGUAGGGGAGCGUUGCAUGCACGUAGAAGCUGUACCGUAAGGAGCAGUGGAGAGCAUGGAAGAGAGAAUGCCGGUGUGAGUAGCGAGAUGUAGGUGAGAAUCCUACACACCGAUAGCCCAAGGAUUCCAGGGGAAGGUUCGUCCGCCCUGGGUAAGUCGGUACCUAACGCGAGGCCGAAAGGCGUAGUGGAUGGAAAACAGGCAGAUAUUCCUGUACCCGCGAUGGAAAUGAAGGAAUGACGGAGAAGGCUAGUGUGAGCCACUUAGUGGAUUGUGGUCGAAGCAUAUAGCAGGCUGACAGUGAAAUGCGUCAGCGGGAUGUAAGAUGUGAUAGGUAAGGGAACGCCCUCGGGCAAGUACUGAAGCACAUGAUGCCAGCUUCCAAGAAAAGUUUCUAGUAUUAAUUCCAUAGCGGCCCGUACCAAAACCGACACAGGUGGGCAAGGAGAGAAUCCUGAGGUGAGCGAGAGAACUGUUGCCAAGGAACUCGGCAAAAUGACUCCGUAAGUUAGCGAUAAGGAGUGCUCUUGUAAAAGAGAGCCGCAGUGAAGAGGCCCAAGCGACUGUUUAACUAAAACACAGCUCUCUGCAAAGUCGCAAGACGAAGUAUAGGGGGUGACGCCUGCCCGGUGCUGGAAGGUUAAGAGGAUUUGUCAUCCGCAAGGAGAAGCAAUGAAUUGAAGCCCCAGUGAACGGCGGCCGUAACUAUAACGGUCCUAAGGUAGCGAAAUUCCUUGUCAGGUAA